rnacentral:rRNA from 1 species
GCCCUAACGAUGUACACUAGUUGUUGUGAGACUAGAUCUUGCAGUAAUGCAGUUAACACAUUAAGUGUACCGCCUGGGGAGUACGGUCGCAAGAUUAAAACUCAAAGGAAUAGACGGGGACCCGCACAAGCGGUGGAGCAUGUGGUUUAAUUCGACGAUACACGAAGAACCUUACCUGGACUUGACAUAGUAAGAACUUUCUAGAGAUAGAUUGGUGUCUGCUUGCAGAAACUUAUAUACAGGUGCUGCACGGCUGUCGUCAGCUCGUGUCGUGAGAUGUUGGGUUAAGUCCCGCAACGAGCGCAACCCUCGUGUUUAGUUGCUAACAGUUCGGCUGAGAACUCUAAACAGACUGCCUACGCAAGUAGGAGGAAGGUGAGGACGACGUCAAGUCAUCAUGGCCCUUACGUCCAGGGCUACACACGUGCUACAAUGGGAUAUACAAAGAGCGGCAAUACGGUGACGUGGAGCAAAUCUUAUAAAAUAUCUCCCAGUUCGGAUUGUAGUCUGCAACUCGACUACAUGAAGUUGGAAUCGCUAGUAAUCGUA